AAUUUAGAAUUUAGAUCAAUUAGAAGCAUGCAGUUGUAAUUGUAGAUCGGAUCGCGAAACGAGUCUGAAACCUAAUUUUGAUCACAUAAAAGUAGUU
rnacentral:sRNA from 1 species